rnacentral:rRNA from 1 species
CCACCUGCAGUAAUUGCCGGACGAUCUUA